rnacentral:rRNA from 1 species
UGGGGAAUAUUGGACAAUGGGCGAAAGCCUGAUCCAGCCAUGCCGCGUGUGUGAAGAAGGUCUUCGGAUUGUAAAGCACUUUAAGUUGGGAGGAAGGGCAGUAAGCGAAUACCUUGCUGUUUUGACGUUACCGACAGAAUAAGCACCGGCUAACUCUGUGCCAGCAGCCGCGGUAAUACAGAGGGUGCAAGCGUUAAUCGGAAUUACUGGGCGUAAAGCGCGCGUAGGUGGUUCGUUAAGUUGAAUGUGAAAGCCCCGGGCUCAACCUGGGAACUGCAUCCAAAACUGGCGGGGUAGAGUAGGGCAGAGGGUGGUGGAAUUUCCUGUGUAGCGGUGAAAUGCGUAGAUAUAGGGAGGAACACCAGUGGCGAAGGCGACCACCUGGGCUCAUACUGACACUGAGGUGCGAAAGCGUGGGGAGCAAACAGG